CCGAGCUAGGGGGGCACAGCCGCCGCGCACGCCUCACCUCGGAUGCCUGCUCACCCUCAACUUUGCAAAGCUCAAAUAGAGGCGCUUGCCGGGGAGGAGGAGUCAGCCACGCCGAUCCUCCAUUCACACAACCUCCGCCGAGGGGCUGCCCCCAGCCCGCUCUGCUGAACCCAGCCGGACCAGACGCGCGGGGGGAGGGGAGAGACAGGAGAGCCGGGGGUGGAGGGGGAGAGGUGACUGUGGGAGAAUAUAUCUCCCGUACACAUCACUCCCACCCUUCUUCUGGUGCAAGCGCCACUAAAUCUCACCCUAACUUUCCUCCGCUUUAGGAGAGACUUGCAGGACUGUGAGAGGGAUCCAGGUGGCCACCCCGGAGUCUCUCUUUCCUUUCCAGCCCCCUGGACAGCGGUUCCUCAGCGUCCAUCCCGGGCACGGCGGCCGGAGGGCCCCCGAGGGCACUUUUCACGUUAUCCCCGAGCGGUCCUUCCUCCCAGGAGACACGGCAGGGUUCGGGUCGGCCCUGGCAGCGAGGGGUGCCGUGAUUCUGGCAGUGUGGGAGCCCACUUAGACCGGCUGUCCAGGCAGGAAGCGCCGGGGCGGGCGGCAGAGACCCGCGAGACGUGGCGGUACCUGCGGCGGGCAGGACACGCUCUCACCAAAGGCAAGGAGGGGGAUCCUGCCGCCUUCCUGCAGAACUACUAAUGAAUAAUCACCCGGGGCUGGGGGGUGUUGCUUCUACGAGCAGGCGUGGGGCAGCCGCCGGCUCAGGGUACUCGCGGAGUGCGCGGGGUCGCGCCGGCCAGGCCGCCCUGUCCCUUGCGCGUUGUCGCCGGGCGCUGUUGGAACCGUGGCACCGCAAGCGCCGCCGGGGCCACCACCCGGCGACACCCCCGCGGCGCUCAGCCCGCAUACUCGCCCCCUCUGCAGCGACAACAGUGACAGAGGCGCCGCGAAGGUUCACCUGCCGCAGGACACGCCGAGCCCCUUGGCUUCCCGGUGACAAUGCACACUUCGGGAUUUCCUUUCCCCCGAGGCAUCAAAGGUUACCGCAAGCAUCGCCAGCCGCCAAGAGAUGUUUUAAGAUUCAAAGGUUUACAGGAUGUGCCACUUCAGAGCCCACGGCAAACUAACGCACCCUCGGAGGGCACUUGUGAAGGCAGCCCGUGCCCAUGCGGGGGGAUCGCGCUGACCUUGCUGACACCGCGGGCUCCGGCGCUUGCUCCCGCUCUGCCUCCCGCUGUGGCCGCACCGGGGCUCCCGCACACCGCGGUGUCCCCCUGCCCGGGACCCACAGGGGCCCCGCGGGGCUGCGGGGAGGUGCGGGAUCGGGAGAGCGGCUGCUGCUGGCUUUGCGCGUUUCGGUGAUGGACCGACACAUGAGGUUGGUUGAACUCGGUACCUUAAAGGUCUUUCACAACCUAAACGAUUUUAUGAUUGAUUCUAUAAUCUCCGGCUCUGCGAUGGACACCGUACAUACAGGAAUGGAAGUCUUUGGCGGGGUAUUUAAUUUCCCAUGAAAACUGGAGUUCUCUAGGAGCAAACAGAAAAUGCGUUUCCCAUAGUGGGCUAUUUUUCGAGCUAGCAUGGGAGUUUUCUCUUUUCUUGAAAUAACCUAGUUUGAUAAAUCAUCUUGAAAGGGAAAAAAUGUUUUCUUGAUCACUUAGCUCUGCAUUAUUCCACCUGGGAGGAAGAACUGCCGAAGUCCUUCCAAAUCUUCGCCUCUCGCACUUUCCAGCAGUGAAACAAGACGACCCCUUGGCCAUUAGCGCAUCCUUCGUCCCCGCGGCUGCCAGAAACCCCGGCGAGGCUGGUGGGGGACUCUGGGGCUGCCAGCUCAGCUCAGCCCUGCGCUGCGCGGAGAGCCGGCACCUGCGCCCUCCCGGGCCACCUCAGCCAUGCGGAACACGGAGCGCGCCCGCCGCGAACGCACUCCGGGGGCGCCCCGGGAGAAAUCCUCAGCGGUGGAGCCUGAGGAGGGGGAGGAAAGCCCGGACCUUUCUAUCUCGGGAUGGGCUGAGGACUUUUGGGAAACGGCCAGGGCCGAUUUCUGCAGCCAUUCCCGUCUAGCCAGCGCCAGGGAGAGAGAAGAAUCUCCCGCCCCGCUGCACUCCUCUAGCACAAGCCGGGAGCGCUGGCAGCAGCUCCCCUCGGGGGCGCCCGGCAUGCCGAGAGGAGCUGUUCCCUCCGUGCAGGAAGCAUUUGUCUGCUUCUUCCCCAGGCAUCCCGAUCCCGAUUCCAGUCAUACUCCGGCGUAAAUCGCUCCAGGUCUCGCACACCGGGCGCCCGCGUCCGGGCUUGGGUGCCCAGUUGAAAGCAAUGGGCAGGGAGAUGGCGGUUCAGGGACAGCAUCUCCUUUGUCAGUGUCCAGACCGAGGCGGUUCGGAACACUUUGCCCUGUCCCCUCCAAACACGGCCCGAUCCAAAUCUCUGAGAGGCUUCAUUGCCCGCUGUUACAUGGCUGCGGUAAUUCCUGAUAAUGCUCAAUCUUCGAUUGUGCUCAAAGGCAUACUCUACAAGAUUAAACAAUAGCUGGAGGAGGAUGAUUCUACUGAGAGUCACACUCGAUCCCGAGAAAAACGGGCUCGGGAACCUGCUUCAACCUGAGCACCGCAGCGGCACCUCCCCAGCCGACGUUUUCCCGUUCCGUUCCCCUCUGCCUUGCUAACUAAUUAAGGGACCGGUAAUUCUUACUAAACCCCUAAAUGAUCCCCCCGCGGUUCGGAGGUGGGCGAGACAGACAGAAACAGCGAUAAAUCCCCAGCCCUUCCCCUCCUGCUCACGCCGCUCACAGCACGCAGGGGGAUCUGUCUCCUUUCACUCAGGUAACUGAUCAGAGUUUGAUUAUUUAAGUGCCAAGAGCAGCAGAAAUAAAGCUGCGAAGCAUCUCCAGGAGCUCGGGGAGCAGAGGGGCAGGAACUCAUCACGGAGGGCCCAAUCCCGCAUUUCUCGCUGCCGAGCGCUGCGGGCACCACGGGAGCCGGGAGCCGCCGGCAAGGCGGGACCAGUCUUCCCUGUCCGGGCUGACGGGGGCACUGGAACUCUUUCGAGCUGCGUAGAGGAUAUUUUGUUUAUCCUUUGAGGGUAAAAGAGGGGGUUUUCGAUGCACAGAGAAGCAAAGGUGCGUGACCUCUCCCUGUCUCUCCGCUGACGGGAGCGGGGCACUGCUGGGUCGGGCGCUGCGGUCCCUCCGAGGCGGGGACCCCGCGGGGAUGGCGAGCAGCCAUCGAUGGCGAGCAGCCGCACCGGGGCUGCGCGGCGGGGAGCCCCAAGCCCCGCGGGGUCCUGUACGACUCCCUUCGCCCCGGCUCUUCCCCGGCUCCGCCGGGGCAGCGCGGCCCGGGGCAGCCUCCCCAGCGCCGCGACCGCCGUGCAGCGGCGGCGGGCCGGGGCCGGCCGGCGGGGCUCGGGCCAUUAUUGUACCGUAAAUCUUGGAAACGCUGGAACUAAUUACGGAGAGGAUAUGUCUCAAUUUGUUCCGCAUUAGUGCCGCGCCGGGACGCAGGCACCGAGCACGGGAAAUUGAUGGGCCCGGCCCGGCCCGGCCCAGCCCCGCCGGAACGGCGGCCCUGACCCCGCGUUCAACCCGGGGGGCGGCCCCGCUCCGCCUCCCGCACCUGCGGGGCCCCGAGGCCGCCGCC
ensembl:lncRNA